rnacentral:rRNA from 1 species
UACGUGGGGGGCAAGCGUUAUCCGGAUUUACUGGGUGUAAAGGGAGCGCAGACGGCAGUGCAAGUCUGGAGUGAAAGCCCGGGGCCCAACCCCGGAACUGCUCUGGAAACUGUGCGGCUAGAGUACUGGAGGGGCAGGCGGAAUUCCUAGUGUAGCGGUGAAAUGCGUAGAUAUUAGGAGGAACACCAGUGGCGAAGGCGGCCUGCUGGACAGUAACUGACGUUGAGGCUCGAAAGCGUGGGGAGCAAACAGG